AAAAAAUGCCUUCUCCCGUAAUCUUCUCUCUCGACUAAAACCACUGACAUGAGUUUCUCUGAAAUUCUCUAUACUCUCAAUGGUACUACUAGCAUCUCUGCAAUCGCCACAAGUUACCCAUUUUGAAGGUUGGGUUUACUUCCUUGGAGACAGUUUUGAAUAAUGGACAAGAAGAAGUAUCUGAUUGGAUCGUAGCAUUACACAUUUUACGAGGAGGGUAGGGCAAGGAACGAGUACCUGAGUUCAUUGGGCUCUUUGUAUCCUCCGAAUGAAAUUGUUUUUGUCAAAAUCUGACUUCGAGCAAGAUAAUUGCGAUUUAGUAAUAUUCCUCUGUUUCUUUUCCCUUAUUUUGUAAACUGCUUUAUCUAGAAGGUUAAGUUUUUUGCAAGAAUACGUUUAUUUGUUUGAUAUAUGCAAGUAAAGCUCUAUGUGUUUGUGCACUUGGUCUCUAAUUGCAUUUAUUAUUAUCGGAAGAAGGAAAAGAUAAAAAAAUUACUGUGUGAAGUUUUGUGUCACCGAUGUUAUUGUGAUGCGAGAUGUCAUGCCGCGAAACUUUGAUAUUGAAUGACACAGAUAUACGAAACUAUGACAGAGAAGUUCUAGCGUUACUUUACAAUGUAAAUAAAUUUCAUUUUCUGAGAACAUAAAGGAGGCACAUGAAUUAUACGUGCUAAUUUGGUAUUGAAAAUAGUAUGUGGAGUGGAUGCUUGAAAUUUCUUAUUCCGGGUCACCAAGUUCCUCUCAUCCAUUUACAUUAAAUUUCCCCCAAUAGUUCAACUUUUGUUCACUUCUUGAUGUGUGGAUUCAAGAUAUCUUGAUGCUGACAUUUUGUUUUUGAAAAAAGGAUGAUAUGUAUCAGUAACACGUUUCACCCUUACUUCUCUUUUGAAGAGGUUUUGAAUGCCCCAACUAAAAUUAGAUUUCAGCUGUGAAGUUGUUCCACUGAGUUGUGCUUUAUAGUCAUUAGCUGAAACUUGAGUGAGCUUGGGAUCUCUGCAGUUUUUUCAAAUGGAGAAGCUACAACGUUUUUCUUUAAAUCUUCUAGAAAAUUGAAAAUUUCAUAUGGUGUAUUUCCUGUAUCUUUUUAUCCCUAUAAGAAAAUGCUUGCUGUUAUUAUAUUUAAGGUCCUGAAAAUGUGAUUUUUCGGCCUAAUUAAGUUGUGUAGAUGCUUUCAUAAUUUGUUUUAUGGCACAUGUUGUUAAUGCGGUAAAUUUUUAAAAAACAUUGCAGUCCCUUCAUUGAAUUUAUAGAUAAGGGUGGCGGACAUUUUAAGAUGGUGAGAAGAUUUUAUCAGAAGAGGAAGAAGCAGAUUUUGGGAUUUAACAGAAAAUAUGAAGACAACAAAUAAUUAAGAAGAAGAAGAAGAAGAAGAAGGAGAAAAAGAAGGAGAAGCAGAAGCAGAAGGAGGAGGAGGAGGAGGAGGGCCUAAAAGAAAGUAGAGAAGGAAAGGUCAAAGUAAGAUGGAGCAUGCUAUAAUUGAUAGAAGAAGAAGGAGAAGGAGAAGGAGAAGGAGAAGGAGGAGGAGGAGGGCCUAAAACAAAGUAGAGAAGGAAAGGUCAAAGUAAGAUGGAGCAUGCCAUAAUUGAUUGAAGAAGAAGAAGAAGAAGAAGAAGGAGGAGGAGGAGGAGGAGGAGGAGGGCCUAAAACAAAGUAGAGAAGGAAAGGUCAAAGUAAGAUGGAGCAUGCUAUAAUUGAUUCCGUUAUUGAUGGAUUUUGCAAGCCUUGGAAUCAAGUCUUUUCCCUUUUGUCUUCUUUCAAUUUUAUGUUUAUCUAUUAUAUGAAAAAUAUUGAGUGCAAAGUUUUUACAGUUUUUCUGUUUAUACUUAGUAGGUAGUAUUAUGGGUACUGAUCCCCUCCUGUAAUUUAACCUCCGGUAUGUCUUCAAUGCACUUUUAUUUUGAAGUCACAUGUACAUGUAAAAAUUAACAGUCUUGAUUGAAUCAAAGUGUAUUCAAAAUU